rnacentral:rRNA from 1 species
CAGGGAGUAUUGCGCAAUGGGCGGAAGCCUGACGCAGCAACGCCGCGUGGGGGAAGAAGGCCUUCGGGUUGUAAACCCCUUUUCUUGGGGAAGAGAGAGGACGGUACCCGAGGAAUAAGCCUCGGCUAACUACGUGCCAGCAGCCGCGGUAAGACGUGGGAGGCGAGCGUUAUCCGGAAUUACUGGGCGUAAAGGGCGAGUAGGCGGUCUUUUAAGUUUCUGGUGAAAUCUCCCGGCUUAACUGGGAGGGUGCCAGGGAGACUGGAAGGCUAGAGGGCAGCAGAGGGAGGUGGAAUUCCCGGUGUAGUGGUGAAAUGCGUAGAUAUCGGGAGGAACACCAGUGGCGAAAGCGACCUCCUGGGCUGUACCUGACGCUGAGGCGCGAAAGCGUGGGGAGCAA